rnacentral:lncRNA from 1 species
CAACGGAGGCCCGGAGAAAGGGGCUGAGUUUGCGAAUUUUUAAGUUAAAAACUUCACCUAAGGUAAAAAGAAAAAGUUAUUUUGACUAUUAAGUAAAUACAGAUACAAGCAAUACACAGAUUUGGCAGAAUUGUGAUAUGACGCAAAUGUGGACCACUGAAGUUUCUCAACAGGACUCUCCUUUGUAUGCACUCUGACUUGGUCAAGUUUCCUGACCUCUCUGUGCCUCAGUUUCCUCACCCAUAAAGAAGUUGAGGCUGUAUUGUUAGCACCUGUUUUGCAAAGUUACUGGAAGGAGCAAAUGUGCUGAUAUGAGCAAAGCACCUACAAGGAAGCAGCAAGUGAAGGUUCACGACACACAGACCACUUUCUUCUUGACUUUCCUCAGUGCCAUCCUUGUAGCCUCCAGGAUUGUGUUGUACUGUAAGACUGAGAGCUGCUUCCUCAAGAGUCACCCCAACCAGGCUUGUCACACAGCUAGCACAGAGCUUGCUCCCCAAAACAACAGAAGGGAGACUACAGUAUUAACUUUCAUGGUUCUGCUUACUCUUUCCUUGAACAUCUUUAAGGCUCUGGAUACAAACAACUUGGCUGACAUACUAGCUAUGCCCUUUACUAACUGUGUGACUUUGGGCAGUGCCCUGCUUCAGAUUCCUCAUCUGUAAAAUACAGAGAAAAAUGUAAUUGUUAUGCAGAUUAAACUA